AAAAGAAAAAUGGGUGAAAAGAACAAAGUUUUGUCCAUCUUUGUUCAUCAUAGUCGAAAGUUAGAAAGAGAAAGGAGAGGAGAAAGCUCUUGAAUGUUCGGUCACUUGGGGAAGAAAAUUGAAGGUAAUCCCCAACCAUAGUGGGCUUGGAGCUGUGAGGGAAUUCGGAGUGGCCACCCAUUCUGAAAGUUUGAUUUUCUUCUGGUGAACUGGAUAUCCUUUUAUUUACGUUUGAGGUUUUGGGUUUUUAAAUGUAAUAAGGCCGCUUAAUUAUUUUUUAUGGUUUUAA